rnacentral:rRNA from 1 species
CGUAGGUCCCGAGCGUUGUCCGGAUUUAUUGGGCGUAAAGCGAGCGCAGGCGGUUAGAUAAGUCUGAAGUUAAAGGCUGUGGCUUAACCAUAGUAGGCUUUGGAAACUGUUUAACUUGAGUGCAAGAGGGGAGAGUGGAAUUCCAUGUGUAGCGGUGAAAUGCGUAGAUAUAUGGAGGAACACCGGUGGCGAAAGCGGCUCUCUGGCUUGUAACUGACGCUGAGGCUCGAAAGCGUGGGGAGCAAA